GACGAACGCUGGCGGCGUGCCUAAUACAUGCAAGUAGAACGCUGAAGGAGGAGCUUGCUUCUCUGGAUGAGUUGCGAACGGGUGAGUAACGCGUAGGUAACCUGCCUGGUAGCGGGGGAUAACUAUUGGAAACGAUAGCUAAUACCGCAUAAGAGUAGAUGUUGCAUGACAUUUGCUUAAAAGGUGCAAUUGCAUCACUACCAGAUGGACCUGCGUUGUAUUAGCUAGUUGGUGGGGUAACGGCUCACCAAGGCAACGAUACAUAGCCGACCUGAGAGGGUGAUCGGCCACACUGGGACUGAGACACGGCCCAGACUCCUACGGGAGGCAGCAGUAGGGAAUCUUCGGCAAUGGACGGAAGUCUGACCGAGCAACGCCGCGUGAGUGAAGAAGGUUUUCGGAUCGUAAAGCUCUGUUGUAAGAGAAGAACGAGUGUGAGAGUGGAAAGUUCACACUGUGACGGUAUCUUACCAGAAAGGGACGGCUAACUACGUGCCAGCAGCCGCGGUAAUACGUAGGUCCCGAGCGUUGUCCGGAUUUAUUGGGCGUAAAGCGAGCGCAGGCGGUUAGAUAAGUCUGAAGUUAAAGGCUGUGGCUUAACCAUAGUACGCUUUGGAAACUGUUUAACUUGAGUGCAAGAGGGGAGAGUGGAAUUCCAUGUGUAGCGGUGAAAUGCGUAGAUAUAUGGAGGAACACCGGUGGCGAAAGCGGCUCUCUGGCUUGUAACUGACGCUGAGGCUCGAAAGCGUGGGGAGCAAACAGG
rnacentral:rRNA from 1 species